rnacentral:misc_RNA from 1 species
GGAACUUGUGAGAGAGAAUGAGCGGUUAAGGAAGGAGAAUAUGCAACUGAGUCACGAGUUGACCCAGUUGAAAGGACUCUGUAACAGCAUACUAUCGCUGAUGACGAAUUACGCAUCAGAUCACCAUCACCAGUUGGAGUCGGUGAGCGUCCGAGACGGGAAGGCACUAGAGCUCUUACCGGCGAGGCAGGUGAUGGAAGACGAAGGCGCCGUCAGCGACGGGGCUCAUGAGGUGAGACUGAAGAUGGAGGAGACGAUGACAGCGGCAGCGGCAGCGGCGGCGG